GGUAAGGUAACGGCUUACCAAGGCAACGACGGGUAUCGGGACUGAGAGGUUGACCCGACGCAUCGGAACUGAGACACUGUCCGGACCUCCACGGAGGGCUGCAGUAACGAAUAUUGCACAAUGGGCGAAAGCCUGAUGCAGCAACGCCGCGUGUAGGAUGAAGCUCCUCGGAGUGUAAACUACUGUCAGGGGUCAGAAAGUGCGCUUCGGCGUAUUGAUCAGCCCCAGAGGAAGUCACGGCUAACUUCGUGCCAGCAGCCGCGGUAAUACGAAGGUGGCAAGCGUUGUUCGGAAUUAUUGGGCUUAAAGCGCAAGUAGGCGGAUAUGCAAGUGUUUUGUGAAAUCCCCCGGCUAAACCGGGGAAUCGCUUGGCAAACUGCAUAUCUUGAGUCAAGUAGGGGUACAUGGAACUCUUAGUGGAGCGGUGGAAUGCGUAGAUAUUAAGAGGAACGCCAAUGGUGAAGACAGUGUACUGGGCUUGUACUGACGCUGAGGUGCGAAAGCGUGGGGAGCGAACGGGAUUAGAUACCCCGGUAGUCCACGCUGUAAACGAUGUCUACUAGGUUGUGGAGGUUCUGACACUUUCACGAUCGAAGCAAAAGUGUUAAGUAGACCGCCUGGGGAGUACGGUCGCAAGGCUAAAACUCAAAGGAAUUGACGGGGGCUCACACAAGCGGUGGAGCAUGUGGAUUAAUUCGAAGCAACGCGCAGAACCUUACCUGGGUUUGACAUGUAUGGAUGCCUAUCUGGAAACAGAGUCGGCUGCCCUCGGGUGAAACUUACACAGGUGCUGCAUGGCUGUCGUCAGCUCGUGUCGUGAGAUGUCGGGUUAAGUCCUUUAACGAGCGAAACCCUUACCGUUAGUUGCCAGCGCGUCAUGGCGGGGACUCUAGCGGGACUGCCGGUGUCAAACCGGAGGAAGGCGGGGAUGACGUCAAGUCCUCAUGGCCUUUAUGCCCAGGGCUUCACACGUGCUACAAUGGUCACUACAGAGCGAAGCGAGACCGCGAGGUGGAGCAAAUCGCAAAAAAGUGGCCUCAGUUCGGAUUGCAGGCUGACAACUCGCCUGCAUGAAGUUGGAUCGCUAGUAAUCGCGUAUCAGC
rnacentral:rRNA from 1 species